rnacentral:rRNA from 1 species
GAUGAACGCUGGCGGCGUGCCUAAUACAUGCAAGUCGAACGCAUAGCGAAAGGUGCUUGCACCUUUCAAGUGAGUGGCGAACGGGUGAGUAACACGUGGACAACCUGCCUCAAGGCUGGGGAUAACAUUUGGAAACAGAUGCUAAUACCGAAUAAAACUUAGUGUCGCAUGACACAAAGUUAAAAGGGGCUUCGGCGUCACCUAGAGAUGGAUCCGCGGUGCAUUAGUUAGUUGGUGGGGUAAAGGCCUACCAAGACAAUGAUGCAUAGCCGAGUUGAGAGACUGAUCGGCCACAUUGGGACUGAGACACGGCCCAAACUCCUACGGGAGGCUGCAGUAGGGAAUCUUCCACAAUGGGCGAAAGCCUGAUGGAGCAACGCCGCGUGUGUGAUGAAGGCUUUCGGGUCGUAAAGCACUGUUGUAUGGGAAGAACAGCUAGAAUAGGAAAUGAUUUUAGUUUGACGGUACCAUACCAGAAAGGGACGGCUAAAUACGUG